rnacentral:rRNA from 1 species
GCCAACGGCCAUACCACGUUGAACACACCAGUUUUCUCGUCCGAUCACUGAAGUUAAGCAACGUCGGCCCGGUAGUACUUGGAUGGGUGACCGCCUGGGAACCCCGGGUGCUGUUGGUA